rnacentral:rRNA from 1 species
GACGAACGCUGGCGGCGUGCUUAACACAUGCAAGUCGAACGGAAAGGCCCUGCUUUUGUGGGGUGCUCGAGUGGCGAACGGGUGAGUAACACGUGAGUAACCUGCCCUUGACUUUGGGAUAACUUCAGGAAACUGGGGCUAAUACCGGAUAGGAGCUCCUGCUGCAUGGUGGGGGUUGGAAAGUUUCGGCGGUUGGGGAUGGACUCGCGGCUUAUCAGCUUGUUGGUGGGGUAGUUGCUUACCAAGGCUUUGACGGGUAGCCGGCCUGAGAGGGUGACCGGCGACAAGGGGACUGAGAGACGGACCAGAGUCCAACGGGAGGCAGCAGGGGGAAAUAUUGCACAAUGAGGGGAAGUCUGAGAAAGAAACGUCGCGUGCGGGAUGAGGGCCUUCGGGUUGUAAACCGCUUUCGCCUGCGACGAAGCGUGAGUGACGGUAAUGGGUAAAGAAGCACCGGCUAACUACGUG